GAUGAACGCUAGCGAUAGGCUUAACACAUGCAAGUCGAGGGGCAGCAUGGUCUUAGCUUGCUAAGGCUGAUGGCGACCGGCGCACGGGUGCGUAACGCGUAUGCAACUCGCCUCACAGAGGGGGAUAACCCGUCGAAAGACGGACUAAUACCGCGUACACUCUAUGUUGGGCAUCCAAUGUAGAGGAAAUGAAAUUCGCUGUGAGAUAGGCAUGCGUCCCAUUAGCUAGUUGGUGAGGUAACGGCUCACCAAGGCGACGAUGGGUAGGGGAACUGAGAGGUUGAACCCCCACACUGGUACUGAGACACGGACCAGACUCCUACGGGAGGCAGCAGUGAGGAAUAUUGGUCAAUGGGCGAGAGCCUGAACCAGCCAAGUCGCGUGAAGGAUGACUGUCUUAUGGAUUGUAAACUUCUUUUAUACGGGAAUAACAAGAGUCACGUGUGGCUCCCUGCAUGUACCGUAUGAAUAAGCAUCGGCUAACUCCGUG
rnacentral:rRNA from 1 species